GGAAUCAGCCCCGAAGGACAGCCGGGAAGGGUUGGGAAAAAACGCAGCGAAGGGCAAGCUCGCCUCUUCAGACGGCCGGGAAGGAGGAGCAUGAGCGUGCGGCCCGGGUAUGAGGGCUCCGAAUGGCUGCAGCAGCACCGCUCUAAGACGUGCUAGUGAUUUCCUCCGGAGAGAGAGAGCGAGAGCGAGCGAGAGACCCUCAGUCCAUGACUCAGCAGAGAAGCAGGCGGCAGGAGCGCAGGAGGGGGAUCUGGCCCCCUUUUUUUCUUUUUGCGCGCGUAAAAGGGGAAGAGGAAAGAUCCAGACGAAGCAAAGAUAGAGGGAUCAGCAGCAGCAACAGCAGCAGCAGCCGCCGCCGCCAAGCUGCAAUCCCGCCUGGAGACAGGGAGAGGGCACCCCAGCAGAGUCGCUGCUGCUGCUGUUGCUGCAGCAGCCUGGCGCUUCUGCCGCGCGCCUUGAGCUCUUGCAUCCCCGCAAAACCUCCGGAGCGAUGAUGUUGCUGAGACGGAAGAAACGAUCGCGGCGCCCGCAGACGGCGUCGCCCCUCAGGAAAGCGCUUUGCAGCGGCUGGUGGCAGCCUGGGAGAAAACGAAGGAGGAUCAUUUCUCGAUCCUGAAGGGAAGACACCACCAUCUCUCCGCGGCCAGCAGAGAGGGGGCCGAGAGAAGAGCGAGGAUUGCAUCUUUGGACGUCGGGGGGCGAAGGGGGGGAGAGUUUUCCCUGUGCAGAUCUUGGCGCUGCUGAAAAGGAGACCCCGAGAAAGGACCAGAGGAAGAGGAGAAACCCGCGGACUUUAGCUCCGUUUCGGCCCCUUCAGUCCGUCCCGAAAUCGCGCGUUUCUCCGCUCUUCCACACAGACGCGCUCGCUCACCGGAGUGAAAACCGGCUGUUGAGAGGGGCGUCGAACAAAUGCAGCAGCUGGGAAGCAAGUCCUUUUAACUGUAUGCCUCCUCACCGGGAGCCCGCUGAACUCGACGGCUUCUAAAUGCAAACGCCGAAGGUUGCGCAGUUACAGAAUCGCUACCUUUCAUCCAGUUGCUAGGUUAAAACUGCGUCUUUAUUCAGCAGGCGCCGUAAAGAGAAACCCGUGCGAGAUUAUGGCGGCAAGAAAAUAAAAGAAGAAAUCUGCUAGUAGUAUUUCGAACUCGUGACUUUUAAUCGGAUGUUAGUCAGAAAAGACUCUACCUGUUUAAUUCUGAUUUAUUCAGUAGCAAAUCCUGACGAAAUCUAGGACCCGUGACCCUAAGUGUGGAACACUAUGCUUUUGAGUUUGAUUACUGAGGUCAGUUAUUCAUCAGAGUUAUUCAUCUCUGAUGCUGAUUGCCACACCAUUUGAAAUCCAAAUAUGUCAUUACAGAGACCUGGUCAUCACUGGUACUUCAUGUUGCAGCACAAGGAUAAAAUGUUCAGUUAAAAAAAAACUAUUUUUUUUACCUUUAAUUUUGAAAUUGUUAAAUCGUUAUUGCAAAAUUUAUUUAUUUAUUUAUAAAACGAGUUUAGUUCAAACAGAAACUCUUUUGAGAUACCCAAAAGGACACAUAGAGAAUAUUGCUGAAUUGAUAUUCUGGAUAUUGAGAGCAGAUGCAUGCUCUCAAUAGUGAAAACACCUAAUUUCCCGUCUGCUAACGUGUAAUACUAAACUUUUCAGAUUUCCUAAUAUUUUUCCAAAAGAAAUUGCUCCAUUUUUUUCAAUUUUUUUUUUUAUUUAUUUAUUUAUUUUAUUAAUUUUUUAUACCGCCCUUCUCCUGAAGGACUCAGGGCUGUGUACAGCCAAAAAUAAAACCCACAACUAUAUGAAAGUUAAAAGACAAUUUAAAAAUAUUAAAUAAUUUGGCUGAAAGAGCUAAAAUAGAAACCACCCAUUAAAAUAGCAUUUAGGCCAGAUCUGCUUGGUGAAACAAUAGCGUUUUGAGGGCGUGGCGAAAGGUGCGAAGGUUGGGGAUCCUACGAAUCUCCGGGGGCAGUUCAUUCCAGAGGGCAGGUGCCCCCACAGAGAAGGCUCUCCCCCUGGGGGUCAUCAUUCGACAUUGCCCGACGGCACCCUGAGGAGUCCCUCUCUGUGGGACCAGACCAGCAUACUGGGAAGCUAUCGGUGGCAGAAGCAGUAAGUACCUGGGUACUAAGCCAUGGAGCACUUUAAAGAUGGCAACCAACACCUUGAAUCGCACCCGGAAGACCACCGGGAGCCAGUGCAGCUCACGCAGGAGCAGUGUUACAUGGGAGCGUCAAGUCGCUCCCAUAAUCACCCGUGCGGCUGCAUUCUGGACCAGCUGGAGCCUCCGGGUGCUCUUCAAGGGGAGCCCCAUGUAGAGAACAUUACAGUAGUCCAGACUGGGCAUGAGUGACUGUGCGUAAGGAGUCCUGGUCCAGAAAGGGACGCAACUGGUAGAUCAGGCGAACCUGAUAAAAAGCCACAACAGAUGUAUGUCACAACAUAUGUAUGGAAAUUGAAUAGUUCACUUGCAAUAAAAUAUGUAAGAUUUUACUGUAGUUUACUGAUAAUUCACACAACUCAAUAAGCCUUGUUUGCUUAGCACUAUUCUAUUGAGUAAACCACAGUUUCAUUUAUAGUAAAUCAUGAACAAGAAAAUUAUGGUUUACCAUAUUCUAUGAAUCCAAGUACAUACUUUUUAAAAAUUGCACAUUUUCCCUUUUUUUGCCAAGAAAACAAUACUGAAAUAGUUUUUGCCGACUAGAGAAAUGUAUAAAGAGGAGAAUAUUUUAUAAAUCUAUUGCAUGAGCCCAAAAUAUAAUCCUAAAUUUAUUUAUUUUUAUCAGAUCAGGCCAAAGCAAAUGUGCCAAUUGGAUUAUUAGUUAAUCUCAGCAUUUUUUAAUUCUCAGCUGUCAUGAUAAAAUAGUAUUUUGUGCAGCCUGAUGUUAACUUAGGCAUUAGUUGCAUAUUGCAUGGUGGAACUUCUUUGAUUUAUAAUUGUACCAUGAAGUUCUGCAUGUACUGUAUCUAAAAAGUGCUGCUGCACUGUGUUUAAUGGGGCUCACUUUCUUGCAAGUGUAUUUAAAUUGAACUUUAAGACUUUUUCCUCUUAUCUAAACAAAAACCCUAUGGUCAGUAUGACAUACAGUAUCCAUUUCAAUUAUCUAUAGUUUAUCCAGUAUUUUUAUUUUGGACAAUACUGUAUAAGCUAUAAACUAGGUUGCAUUUCCACAAUGUGUUACAUUAAAACCUGAUUGCCCAGUUUUGAUUAAGUAUGUUGUGGAACUCCAAUCAAAGAGUACCCAUUGAAUCUGCAGGAAAGAUAUGAAUAGAACUCCAUGGCAUAUUAGCAAGGGUUUUUUUUUUUUUUGCCCUACAGUUCAUCUUUUUUAUCUAAUCUUACAUGGAUAAUUUAUAUUAGGAUUCAUAAUUUAGUUUUGUAUACAUGCAUUGAAAGUGUAUUGCAUGAUGUCACAAAUGCAGUCUUUUUAAACACUGCAGUAUAUUGCAGAUACUGUAAAAACAUACAGGUUAUGCUAAGAUUGUUCCUAAGAUUCCCAUAGCUUCAAGGUGAGGCGGUAUUCUUCAUUCAGUACUUUGUUGCAAUGCAAUGCAGUGUCAUUUCUGUCACACACAUGCAGAUAGAACUGACAUAACAGGAAAAAGAUUUACAAUGCACUAAUAUUUGUGAAAAAAUCUUUGAGUGGAUAAUGAGUGGCAAAAAAAGUUCAGAACCAUGAAAGUAUGGUUUCAGUACAUUUGUACUCAAGUACACUUGUUAACAGUGGUUUAUAUAGAGAUUAUUGGUUAAUUAGCUCAACUGCCCCAGAUUUUUCUAAGUAUGUCAGGUUAAUUUAAUUUUUUUAAGUUGCAUGUAUUUUAACAAUUCAUAGAUAAAUACAUUAUAACUCACUAAUAAUCCCCAUAUUAAGAGAUAUUUUGAGAUCCAAACCAACAAGUACAUUUGAUAAAUGUAAACACUUAAAAGUGUCUAGCAAUUAGCAACAUAAACCCAUCAUAUAACCAUAAGCAGAAACUGCAAUCUAUCAGAAUCUGAACAUCUAUCUAGAAUUCUUUCAGAAAGAACCAAAAUAACUGAACUUUGUCUCGUCUCCACUUGGGACUCCCAGGCCAAUUUUAAAAAAGCAUUUCACACUAAAAUAUUGUACUUAACUGUUCAUCACACCUCUUCUAUCAUGUUCUAUUUGACGGAACUAUCUAGAUCAACUAAUAAAUAGAAUAAGUGGAUGGCAUUACAGUAGAAAGAAAUCAAUAUACACAGGAAUAUGCUUUGCAAAUUUUUUUACAAGAUCCUCCACCAGCAAAAAGAUUGUGACUCACUGAAAGCUCAGAUGAUACUUAGCAUUUUAGCAAUAAAGUAUUUUUAAUUAAGGUA